rnacentral:rRNA from 1 species
CUUGGUUGAUCCUGCCAGUAGUCAUAUGCUUGUCUCAAAGAUUAAGCCAUGCAUGUGUAAGUAUGAAAAAAUUCAGACUGUGAAACUGCGAAUGGCUAAUUAAAUCAGUUAUAGUUUGUUUGAUGGUAUCUACUACUCGGAUAACCGUACUAAUGUUAGAGCUAAUACAUGCAACAAAGCCCGACUUCUGGAAGGGAUGCAUUGAUUAGAUAAAAGAUCGACGCGGGCUUUCCCUGUUGCUUCGAUGAUUCACGAUAACUCGACAGAUUGCACGUCCAUCGUGCCGGCGACACAUCAUUCAAAUUUCUGCCCUAUCAACUUUCGAUAGUAGUAUAGUGGCCUACAAUGGUGGUGACUGGUGACGGAGAAUAAGGGUACGAUUUCGGAGAAGGAGCUUGAGAAACGACUAUCACAUCGAAGAAAGGCAGCAGGCGCACAAAUUACCCAAUCCUGACACRGGGAGGUAGUGACAAUAAAUAACAACAGCCUUAGAGAGGCUUGUGCAAGACUCUAGAGCCUUUAGAUUCUUGGGGCAGACUAGAGAAUUCUAGGAGCCUUUUGGAAGAGCUAGAGACAUAUUCUAGGAAUGUAGAACAUGUAUUGAGUGCAUGUACUUAGGGACUUGUAUAGCAUCAUUUAUUUACUCUUAGGCUUAGGGAGUAGUAAAAAUAGGAGAGUCAUUGUAUUUGUUAAUCAUCCAUCAACUGAAUAAUAAAAUACAAGUCCUCUCUUCCAAAGUUCUUUCUUUGUCUUUCUUCUUAUUCUCUUACCAUUACGAGUAGAAAGGCUGACUUGAGCUUACGAAAUCAUGAAAAAAUUGUGAGUAAGUUGUCAAGUGCCGCAUGGAGUCUUGUCAGAUUCUCUAGGUCCGUGACACUACGCUCUGUAUACAUUUGCAUGGGAUAACAUUAUAGGAUUUCGGUCCUAUUACGUUGGCCUUCGGGAUCGGAGUAAUGAUUAACAAGGACAGUCGGGGGCAUUUAUAUUUCAUAGUCAGAGGUGAAGUUCUUGGAUUUAUGAAAGACGAACAACUGCGAAAUCAUUUGCCAAGGAUGUUUUCAUUAAUCAAGAACAAGAGUUGGGGGCUCGAAGACGAUCAUAUACCGUCCUAGUCUCAACCAUAARCGAUGCCGACCAGGGAUCGGCGGAUGUUGCUUUUAGGACUCCGCCGACACCUUAUGAGAAAUCAAAGUUUUUGGGUUCCGGGGGGAGUAUGGUCGCAAGGAUGAAACUUAAAGGAAUUGACGGAAGGGCACCACCAGGAGUGGAGCCUGCAGCUUAAUUGGACUCAACACGGGGAAACAUACCAGGUCCAAACAUAGCAAGGAUUGAAAGACAAAGAGCUCUUUCUUUAUUCUAUGGAUGGUGGUGCAUGGACGUUCUUUGUUGGUGGAGCAAUUUGUUUGGUUAAUUCCGUUAACGAACGAGACAUCCGCCUGCUAACUAGCUAUGCGGAGGUAUCCCUUCGCGGCCAGAUUCUUAGAGGGACUACGACCUUUUAGGCCGUGGAAGUUUGAGGUAUUAGCAGAUCUGUGAUGCCCUUAGAUGUUCUAGGCCGUAUGCGCGCUAAACUGAUGUAUUCAACGAGCUUAUAGCCUUGGCCGACAGGACCAGGUAAUCUUUGAAAUUUCAUCGUGAUGGGGAUAGAUCAUUGCAAUUGUUGGUCUUCAACGAGGAAUUUCUAGUAAGCGUGAGUCAUCAGCUCACGCUGACUACGUCCCUACCCUUUGUACACACCGCCCGUCRCUCCUACCGAUUGAAUGAUCUAGUGAAAUGUUUGGAUCGCGACGACGUGGGCGGUUCGCUUCUUGCGACGUCGCGAGAAUUCCAUUGAACCUUACAUUUAGAGGAAGGAGAAGUCGUAACAAGGUCUCCGUAGGUGAACCGGCGGAAG